GAUGAACGCUGGCGGCGUGCCUAAUACAUGCAAGUCGAGCGAACGGACGAGAAGCUUGCUUCUCUGAUGUUAGCGGCGGACGGGUGAGUAACACGUGGAUAACCUACCUAUAAGACUGGGAUAACUUCGGGAAACCGGAGCUAAUACCGGAUAAUAUUUUGAACCGCAUGGUUCAAAAGUAAAAGACGGUCUUGCUGUCACUUAUAGAUGGAUCCGCACUGCAUUAGCUAGUUGGUAAGGUAACGGCUUACCAAGGCAACGAUGCAUAGCCGACCUGAGAGGGUGAUCGGCCACACUGGAACUGAGACACGGUCCAGACUCCUACGGGAGGCAGCAGUAGGGAAUCUUCCGCAAUGGGCGAAAGCCUGACGGAGCAACGCCGCGUGAGUGAUGAAGGUCUUCGGAUCGUAAAACUCUGUUAUUAGGGAAGAACAUAUGUGUAAGUAACUGUGCACAUCUUGACGGUACCUAAUCAGAAAGCCACGGCUAACUACGUG
rnacentral:rRNA from 1 species